rnacentral:rRNA from 1 species
UACGUAGGGUGCAAGCGUUGUCCGGAAUUAUUGGGCGUAAAGAGCUCGUAGGUGGCCUGUCGCGUCGGCUGUGAAAACUCGGGGCUCAACUCCGAGCUUGCAGUCGAUACGGGCAGGCUAGAGUUCGGCAGGGGAGACUGGAAUUCCUGGUGUAGCGGUGAAAUGCGCAGAUAUCAGGAGGAACACCGGUGGCGAAGGCGGUGAGCUGGGCAGUUGCUGACACUGAGGCGCGACAGCGUGGGGAGCAAACAGG